UACGAAGGGGGCUAGCGUUGCUCGGAAUCACUGGGCGUAAAGGGUGCGUAGGCGGGUCUUUAAGUCAGGGGUGAAAUCCUGGAGCUCAACUCCAGAACUGCCUUUGAUACUGAGGAUCUUGAGUUCGGGAGAGGUGAGUGGAACUGCGAGUGUAGAGGUGAAAUUCGUAGAUAUUCGCAAGGACACCAGUGGCGAAGGCGGCUCACUGGCCCGAUACUGACGCUGAGGCACGAAAGCGUGGGGAGCAAACAGG
rnacentral:rRNA from 1 species